rnacentral:rRNA from 1 species
GGACCUGCCAAGUAGGGAUUGGGACUAAGCCAUGCGAGUAAACUCGAAAGAGUGGCGCACGGCUCAGUAACACGUAGUCAAUCUACCCUGAGGACGGGGAUAACCCCGGGAAACUGGGGAUAAACCCCGAUAGGUCAUAGCUCCUGGAAUGGGCUAUGGCUCAAAUCUAUAUGGCCUUAGGAUGGGACUGCGUCCGAUCAGGUUGUUGGUGGGGUAAUGGCCCACCAAGCCUAUAACCGGUACGGGCUCUGAGAGGAGGAGCCCGGAGAUGGGCACUGAGACAAGGGCCCAGGUCCUAUGGGGCGCAGCAGGCGCGAAACCUCCGCAAUGGGCGAAAGCCCGACGGGGUCAGUCCGAGUGGCUCCUGCUAAAGGAGUCUUUUGCCAGCUGUAAACAGGCUGGUGAAUAAGGGGUGGGCAAGCCUGGUGUCAGCCGCCGCGGUAAUACCAGCACCUCGAGUGGUCGGGAUGAUUAUUGGGCCUAAAGCAUCCGUAGCCGGUGUAGUAAGUCCUCCGUUAAAUCCACCUGCUCAACAGGUGGGCUGCGG